rnacentral:rRNA from 1 species
CUACCAUGCAGUCGUGCGGAGGGGCGAUGAGCCCCUCAGCGGCAAACGGGUGAGUAACACGUGAGUAACCUGCCCCUGGGAAGGGGAUAACCCUCCGAAAGGGGGGCUAAUACCCUAUAUAGCCGGGGACCACUAAGGUCACCCGGUGAAAGGUGGCCUCUGCCCUUCACGGGCAUGCUACCGCCCAGGGAGGGGCUCGCGGCCCAUCAGGUACUUGGUGGGGUAACGGCCUACCAAGCCUAUGACGGGUAGCCGGCCUGAGAGGGUGGCCGGCCACAGUGGGACUGAGACACGGCCCACACCCCUACGGGGGGCAGCAGUGGGGAAUCGUGGGCAAUGGGCGCAAGCCUGACCCCGCGACCCCGCGUGGGGGAUGAAGCCCUUCGGGGUGUAAACCCCUGUCGGGGGGGACGAUGUGUCCUGGGGUGAAUAAUCCCAGGGCAUGACGGUACCCCCAGAGGAAGGGACGGCUAACUACGUGCCAGCAGCCGCGGUAAUACGUAUGUCCCGAGCGUUGCGCGGAUUCACUGGGCGUAUAGCGUCCGCAGCAGGACGGGUAAGCGGUGCGUCACAGCCC